AUUGAACGCUGGCGGCAUGCCUUACACAUGCAAGUCGAACGGCAGCACGGGAGCAAUCCUGGUGGCGAGUGGCGAACGGGUGAGUAAUACAUCGGAACGUGCCCAGACGUGGGGGAUAACUACUCGAAAGAGUGGCUAAUACCGCAUACGAUCUACGGAUGAAAGCGGGGGAUCGCAAGACCUCGCGCGUCUGGAGCGGCUGAUGGCAGAUUAGGUAGUUGGUGGGAUAAAGCCUACCAAGCCAACGAUCUGUAGCUGGUCUGAGAGGAUGAUCAGCCACACUGGGACUGAGACACGGCCCAGACUCCUACGGGAGGCAGCAGUGGGGAAUUUUGGACAAUGGGCGAAAGCCUGAUCCAGCCAUUCCGCGUGCAGGAUGAAGGCCCUCGGGUUGUAAACUGCUUUUGUACAGAACGAAAAGCUCUGGCUAAUACCUGGAGUCCAUGACGGUACUGUAAGAAUAAGCACCGGCUAACUACG
rnacentral:rRNA from 1 species